AUCACCAAUCUUCAAAACACCUUCGUUAUUAAUCAAGAGGUUAGAUCCCUUAAUAUCACGGUGGAGGAUUCCUCGUCUGUGGCAAUGUUCAAGCCCACGGAACAGUUGUUGCAUAUAGCACUUGAUCUAAUAACAAAGUAAGACUCUCUUGUCACUUGAAUUUUCCGAAUUAUAGCCCUUGUAGUAAUACAUUAUAUGUAAUACCUGAGGUUCAGAGAAUUUGAUUCCAGGAGUUGCAGCUAGACCUGCAAGAUCGUGUUCCAUGUACUCAAAGACAAGGUAGAGGCUACCUGAGAGUCUAGAGGUGACUAGACCUUCAAGCUUCAUAACAUUGGGGUGAUCAAGCUUUCGGAGAAUGAGAAUCUCCCUGGCCAUAAACCGGACACUCUCUGGAUCCAUAUUCACAAACCGAACUUUCUUCAUCGCCACAAUCUUUCCCGUUUCCAGGUCUCUAGCUUUAUACACGCUGCUGUAAGUCCCCUGUCCAAUCUACAACAAUACACAGAACAUAAGAUUUCUAUUUCAGGACACAAAGAGAGAUUCAAAAAGGAAAACAAAAGGGAUAACUUUUUCUUGAAAGAUCAACUAACUUUGUCUAACUUCUCAUAGGAAUCUGCGCUGCGAGGAACCCAUCCUUUGAUAGCUUCUCCAGCAACAGAAGCCAACCAAGACGGCCAUUCUGCCUUGGCUAGUUCUGUUUUAUUUCCGGUCAGACGCUGUGGCUGCUGCGUAGGCUGCACCACCGGCAUAUCCGUGACUCUUCUGGUGUGGUUCCUGGCCGGAGCUCCCACAACAACCGCUGGUUUAUUGCUGUUUCGAUCAGAUGACGUGGAGGGACGACGCACCACUGGGUAACCAUUGGCCACGACGGUGAUGGAAGCUGUAGAAGUCGGACAUGUGAAAGAUCCUUCCUUUUUGGAUGAAGAAGCUGACGACGACGGUGGACGAGGGAUGAGAUGAACAAUGGAUUUGCUGGAAUCUAGUAGCUCCUUGUUUGCAACGGCGGCGUUUGGAGAACGCGCGGUGGCGCAAAUACAACCCAUUACAAACAAACAACCAUUCAAACUCCUACUUAAUGGAAGAAGCUUUGAGUUUU
rnacentral:lncRNA from 1 species